UAAGUUCUUGAAGAGGUCGUUCUUAAUGUUGGCCCAAAUGAGAGGGCAACGUCUUUGCAAAGAUAAGACGGGAUGGCUGCCCACGAAAAUGUCUUUGAAGGAUGAUGUUCAUUCAGAUAUAAAAGUUCCCAGAGUAGACACAUCAGGGUCAGUCCUCACAUGUGACUUUUUGGAGCCCCCAUUAAGCCAUCUUGCCCACUGUCGGGGCAUCCUGUUGCUGUAACUGUGAGUGCUACUGGCAGAAGCUAGAGUGGUGUCCAGGCCAACUGUUCCUGGCUUAGUUUAGUUGAAGGAAAAAAA
rnacentral:lncRNA from 1 species